GAUGAACGCUGGCGGCGUGCCUAAUACAUGCAAGUCGAGCGAACAGACGAGGAGCUUGCUCCUCUGACGUUAGCGGCGGACGGGUGAGUAACACGUGGAUAACCUACCUAUAAGACUGGGAUAACUUCGGGAAACCGGAGCUAAUACCGGAUAAUAUAUUGAACCGCAUGGUUCAAUAGUGAAAGACGGUUUUGCUGUCACUUAUAGAUGGAUCCGCGCCGCAUUAGCUAGUUGGUAAGGUAACGGCUUACCAAGGCAACGAUGCGUAGCCGACCUGAGAGAGUGAUCGGCCACACUAGGACUGGAACACGGUCCAGACUCCUACGGGAGGCAGCAGUAGGGAAUCUUCCGCAAUGGGCGAAAGCCUGACGGAGCAACGCCGCGUGAGUGAUGAAGGUCUUCGGAUCGUAAAACUCUGUUAUUAGGGAAGAACAAAUGUGUAAGUAACUAUGCACGUCUUGACGGUACCUAAUCAGAAAGCCACGGCUAACUACGUG
rnacentral:rRNA from 1 species